UACGGAGGGUGCUAGCGUUGUUCGGAAUUACUGGGCGUAAAGCGCGUGUAGGUGGCUAAGCGGGUCGGAUGUGAAAGCCCUCGGCUUAACCGAGGAAGUGCGUCCGAAACUACUUAGCUUGAGUAUGGGAGAGGAGGACGGAAUUCCCAGUGUAGAGGUGAAAUUCGUAGAUAUUGGGAGGAACACCGGUGGCGAAAGCGGUUCUCUAGACCAUAACUGACACUGAGACGCGAAAGCGUGGGUAGCAAACAGGAUUAGAUACCCUGGUAGUCCACGCCGUAAACGAUGGGUACUAGGUGUUGUGAGCUUAACACUCGCAGUGCCGACGCUAACGCAUUAAGUACCCCGCCUGGGGAGUACGGCCGCAAGGUUAAA
rnacentral:rRNA from 1 species